CCGUUCUCUUAUCAUUUUCCCUCCUCUCUGAAUAAAAUUUGUGCACUCUCACAUCAAUAUAACACACAUACAUAUCAGAUUCACGAAAUAUGGGGAACGUUUUUAGGGUUUUUCUGGGCAUUCUGAAUGGCUGUUUUUGCUUGAUUUUCAAUAUAAGUUUCUCUGAAAUGGAAUAUUAUUUGAAGGAUAUUGGUUUCUGUAAUAAUGGGAUCUGGUUGUUGUCAAAUUUUCGGCCCGACAUUGAGCACUGGAGUUUGCUGUAGCUGAAAGUUUUACUAUGUAUUGGAAUUUUUCUGCACAACGUGGAAUGCUUGUUCUAGAUUCAUCUAAAGCAAAUGAUGUGGACUCAAUAUUCGAUCAAGCUAGACAACAUGCAGUUGUUGAAGCACGUCCUGCAUUCUCUAGAUCUAGAACCUUUACUGGAUCUGCUAGAAGAUAUACUGGAUGCAGAGCGGCAGGAUAAAUAUCUGGCAAGUAUGUUGAACAGGGUGGUAAAGGAGGUGGAAGGCGUGCCAAUUUUGCACAAAACAUGAAUUUUGGGAGAUCCAUUUAUAUAUAGACAUUUUUGGAACCAUGAUUUCAAUUAGCAUAUACAAGGCCCUUGUAGAACUUAGGGUGGUAGGCAUGCCAAUAGAAGCCUCCCAUUAUUAGCUUAUUUUUUUACUUCAUUGUUGGUAUUGCAGAUGCUUUGAAUUGAAAUAUACAAUUACAUGUAUUUUUUUUAAAUCUAUUUUGUACAUUUAUAAUAUUAAUUUAUAUGCAUUUCAGU